ACGCUCGACACCUACGGAGGCAGCAGUGAGGAAUAUUGGUCAAUGGGCGCUAGCCUGAACCAGCCAAGUAGCGUGAAGGAUGAAGGCUCUAUGGGUCGUAAACUUCUUUUAUAUAAGAAUAAAGUGCAGUAUGUAUACUGUUUUGUAUGUAUUAUAUGAAUAAGGAUCGGCUAACUCCGUGCCCGCAGCCGCGGUAAUCUGAGCGGGCUGGCAAGGC
rnacentral:rRNA from 1 species